GUGAGGGGAAGCUCGAGAUUGGCGCUUCACCGGUUUGUCAGUGAAAAAACUAAUCGAUCUUGUUGCGUGUUUUCUCACAGUUCACCACAGACAAAUGUGCUUUGCACUAUUUUGUGUUGACUGACUGACCGACCAUCCUUCACAUUGACCAUUGUUUACGCGGAUAAACUCAGGAAACAGUUCACCACAUACAAAUAUGCUUUGCGCUAUUUUCCAGUGGAGACUGACUGACCGUUCUUUACAUUGACCGCCGUUAACGUUGCAAAACUAAGGAAACAGCAGUGUUGGAGUCCAAGUCAAAAUGAGUGAUCUUGAGAACUUGAUUGGCUACAUUACUCACUGCUGCAAAACACGUUGAAUAAAACAAAUAUCAUGAAAUACGAUUGAUUUGAAAUAAACAUCUGCUCCCACACAUGCAUCAUUCUGCAAGUCCAAUCAUUUUGCUUCAAUGUAUCGUCAUGAGCCACAGAGGACCACAGUUUCAGCCCAAAAAUUAUUAACUGGUCUACUGAAAAAUGUCACUUUAAAUGCCCUGAUGGUACUUGCAGUAUUUCACAGAAUCACUAAUCAAAAUCUGCAUCAGACAUCUUCCUUGGAUAAACACACCGCAACAGUUUCUCAGUCUUUUCAGAGCCAAGGCAGCGAAGUGUGGUGUCAGUGGCAAUAAGAUGGCUGCAAUACUAAGACACUAUGAUGAGCAAGGACACGAAUGACAUUGGCAUCAUUGGAACUUCUGUUCUGGCAGGUCUACCAGUUUAUCUGAAAGAAGACUCUGCAGAUGUUUUUAAGGCACACAACACAAGAGAGAGGAGCUUGAGGAGGCACAGAAGGCAGCAGUUGCCAUCAUUGAUGUUGUGGAGGAGGAGGAGGAGAACACCUUGUCUUUCAACCCAGAUGAUAUACUAAUUGUCCUUGAAGAUGAGGUGGUGAUGUCUUCUGGGUUAGUGCACUUGUGCUGCUUUUUGGGCUACUAUGUGCCCUUUACAUUAGCUACCCAAAGAAGCUUACAGUGUUUUUUGAGUUUAUACAGAAAGUGCUCUUAAAAUUUGAAGAUGGAAAGGUCAGGCCAAAGUUGCUUGCACUUAAAAUGAACUUUUGAAUGAGUAAAAUUUAAUACUUUUGUGUUUUUUGCUUCCAUUACUCAUGUUGUUUUGCAGUUUAAAGUCUAUGAAGGUUGUAAUGUUACUAAAACUGUUUUUUUAUUGUCCCUGUUUGGGCAGUUUAUUACAGUCUUAAUGAAGUAGCUGACGUAUAGAGUGAAGUGACUGUUUGAUGAAAUUAUGUUAUUUGGACUUGACUUAGCACAUUGACUUUGCUGUAAAAGUCUCAUGGUGCUGUGUGUUACAUUAUUAAAGAAAUACAUAUUUAAUAGUAACUGUAUGUCUGAAAAAAGCACAGUGUCUGCCAGAGCCGGCCUUAAGCAUCUGGUGGCCUGUUUCAAUAACUAAUAGGGGGCCCUACCCACAUAAAACAUAAACAUAAUAGAGCAAAAAGCAAGGAUUCCUGUUGGUUUGCAUCAAUGGUAUAUUAUUUUAUUACGUGCUCAACAGAAAUGAUCCAAACUUAUUUAAUUAAAACUAUACAAUUAUAGUUGGAAUAAGCCUCAUCCUUUCAUGGAGGCAAACUUCUCUGCUUAAUUGAUUUGCGCAGUAUAUUUUCAGCUGUCUGGGCUGACUUAAAAAAAAAUAUAUCUCAAACAUCCCCUCAACUUGAAUUAUUUAACAAACGCAAAGAAGAAAAAGUGUCUGACUGACACUGACCCGAACUUAUAAAUAACGAUGGGCUCCGCGUUUUUUCAGCACCGUUGACAGCUCACCUGGCGGCGGGCGUAGAUUUCACCCGAGCCCUUUUUAGAAAUCCACCUUUCUGUGUUUGAGUGCUGAGAAUGCCCUGAUAAGUUCAUCUUUGUCCAGCGAUUUUGUCGCCUCGUGCUCAAUAUCUGAACGAGAGCUGACGGCAUCUAUGUUCAAUAGGCUAUUAUAAAAACAGUUUGCAUACUUUGAUGCGGGAGCAAAACAAAAAAAUAAGAUUUCCAAGCCACAGUAAAAAAAUCACCCCUCAUUUAUCUAAAGUUCUUGGUCAUUAUGUUCAUUUAAUGGAACAUUGUGUGGAUGUUGUGUUAGAGGAAAAUGCAGUCAUGCACAAAAUAUAUUAAAGGCAGUCAGUAAAUGCACACAGAUGUUAUACACACAUUUUUAAUACAAUUAAAUACUGCAUUAAGGUUAGUAUAAAAUCCAAUCAUAUUAUAAAAAAAAACAUUAUUAAAAACCUAGAAUCGCACUUGCACAGCCAAGCCUCAUGAGAGAGAGCAUGGUCGAAUUCAAAACUGUGUUUUUGCCCCCUUGAAGGGCACUUCGGGAAGGGAGCUGCUUAAACUUUCACUCCAGAUCAAAUUAAAAUGACAAUGUUUUCAUUGCUCUAUUCUCCAAGUGUAUUUUAGCGGUCACAGUCACGCAAUGAGACACAAUUGCGCAACUCUUUGCACAGCUCUGAUCUUCGAAGGGAAUAGGGCAUAGGGAUGAGUACUUCCAAUUGAUAUUCUCUCCAUUUGUGACAGAAAAUUUGUCGGCAUGAAUGCGCACGGGCUAACUAUCCACAUGUGCACGUUUUCUGAGAGUUUUUAUGAAGCACUGUGAUGCUGCUGUAAACGAUUCUACAUUGAUUUAUAAAAAUGAAAGAAUUGACUUUUAAAAAUAAUUUAAAUGACAUAUAAUAAAUAUUAAUGCAGUUCUACAAUUUUAUUAUAGACUAAAUAAAAUACAUUCAUUUCAUAUUAAUAAUCCGAUUAUUAGGAUAUGGCGCGUAUGAACGUCCGAGAGAAAAUAAAGAGCAGAAAUGUUAACUGAUUUAAAAUGAAAGAUAUGUGAUUGCACUUCACUGGUACUGACACUGUGAGCUCCCCCGUGCAGGAAUCAUAGCCCCCCCGUUCAAACAUUCUUGCGUCGGGCUGGGGACCUCCUUGGAGGACGGGGCCCGUUUAAAUUGAAACGGUUGAAACAUAGCUAAGGCCGCCUCUGGUGUCUGCAUAGCACAAUGAUUUUGGUUUUAAUUUUAGUUUGUGCUGUCAAAGUUGUAAAAGAGAACUUGAGAUAAUUUCAUGGUUAAAGUGUAUGUCUGAUGAAAUUGUUUUAAUGAUAGUUGGACUGUACAGCAUGCUUGGCUUGUUUUAUAAAUCCUCAAUUUGUGCUGUAACAGUACAUGAGGAAAGUGUAAGUCCAAAGUUGGUUUCACUUAUCAAUUUUGACAGCACAGCACACUUAUUUGAUCCCCGAGAUCCUUUGUGGUGAUAUAUUUUAUUUUAAUAAAUACUGUUUAAGAAUGUA